rnacentral:rRNA from 1 species
GUUUACUAUACGUGCUCAGAUGCUUAUUUGCGAAAUGGUUUGAGCUAAUUUUUAUCUACUAUUAGGUUACUGAUACAUGUAGCAAAAUGUGACGAGAAUAAAGGUUAGGGGUGAUAGGCUAUACAAAAACCAUGAUAUCUCAUUUAAUAGGAAAAGUAUUAAGUACUUUUACAAAUUUAGAGUGAUAAGGCUCCAAAUAGACUUCAAGUUUCAUAAUAAACAGUUACAAGAGAUAAUAACAGUUGAUGUAGAAGUAAUAUUAUUGCUGUGUUGUGGUUACGACGAAUCACUAUUAUUUAUAUAAACUAUGUUGAAUAUAGAUAAUGUAAAUAUGAGUAGAUGUAUAAGGCUUUGUUAAUGAACUCGGCAAUAGGGUGUUCAACUGUUUACCAAAAACAUAGCUACAUGAAUGUAUAUGUGGUGUUUUCUGCUCAAUGAUAAUUAAAUAGCCGCAGUACCCUGACUGUGCAAAGGUAGCAUAAUCAUUUGGCUUAUAAUUGAAGUCUUGUAUGAAAGAAAUUUUGGAUACCCACUAUCUCGACAAGGUUGAUCGAAGUUUCUUAGUAGGUGAAAAUACCUAUUGAUAAACAUAAGACGAGAAGACCCUAGAAAUUUUUAUCUCGUGUUUUUGUUGGGGCGACAGAGUAGCUUAACCUACUUUAUACUAUGUGACACGUGUACGAAGUGAAAAUAAAUUACUCUAGGGAUAACAGCAUAAUCUUGAAAGGUUUGUGACCUCGAUGUUGGAUUAGGACAUUACCAUUUAGAAGACAGGUGAUAGUGCUCUGUUCGAGC